GAACACGUGAUGAUAGGGAAAGUAGCAAAACUGUCUUACCCACCAGAGAGCCGGCUAGGGUGAAAACCGGCGGAAGACAAUUUUGGGAAAGCCACCCUUGAGCUGUGGGCUGAAACUUAGUAAGCUUUACCGUACCUGGCGUUAACAGGAUCAAGUGAGCCGUAUGGCUAAUUUAGGUGGUACCGCGGGAACAAUAAUCUCGUCCUUUUC
rnacentral:ncRNA from 2 species